CCAGAACGCUCCAUUAGGCGCUGGAGUUGGAGAUCUUCUUCGCUGAAAGAAGAAUGCAACACAUCAUACAUCACGUAAUCCACUUCCAGAUCAGUAUUUGGUACAUCAACUGAGUUGUCAAUCAUGGACCUCCUCCGCUGAUUUCCUCGGUCUCUACUAUUGUCAUGUGAAGGUAACGACGUUAGUUGGAAACUCGUGCAUCGUCAACUACCUGGUCAAUUUUUCCAGGAUUGUAGGUCAUCUUAGACGUUUUGCAAUUUUUAAAGAUU